rnacentral:rRNA from 1 species
GACGAACGCUGGCGGCGUGCUUAACACAUGCAAGUCGAACGGAAAGGCCCUGCUUUUGUGGGGUGCUCGAGUGGCGAACGGGUGAGUAACACGUGAGUAACCUGCCCUUGACUUUGGGAUAACUUCAGGAAAUUGGGGCUAAUACCGGAUAGGAGCUCCUGCUGCGUGGUGGGGGUUGGAAAGUUUCGGCGGUUGGGGAUGGACUCGCGGCUUAUCAGCUUGUUGGUGGGGUAGUGGCUUACCAAGGCUUUGACGGGUAGCCGGCCUGAGAGGGUGACCGGCCACAUUGGGACUGGAAUACGGCCCAGACUCCUACGGGAGGCAGCAGUGGGGAAUAUUGCACAAUGGGCGGAAGCCUGAUGCAGCAACGCCGCGUGCGGGAUGACGGCCUUCGGGUUGUAAACCGCUUUCGCCUGUGACGAAGCGUGAGUGACGGUAAUGGGUAAAGAAGCACCGGCUAACUACGUG